AGAGGCCAGUGAUGGUGGAGAAAUAUUGCCUACAUCGUUUGAUAUUAUCGAACAUGAUAAUGAUAUGCUUUCUCUUUGAAUCUGAGGCCUCU